rnacentral:rRNA from 1 species
AUACGGAGGAUCCGAGCGUUAUCCGGAUUUAUUGGGUUUAAAGGGUGCGCAGGCGGGAGAUUAAGUCGGCGGUGAAAUUUUGCAGCUCAACUGUAAAAGUGCCUUCGAAACUGGUUUCCUUGAGUGUAGAUGAAGUAGGCGGAAUUUGUGGUGUAGCGGUGAAAUGCAUAGAUAUUACGAGGAACUCCGAUUGCGCAGGCAGCUUACUAAACUACUACUGACGCUCAGGCACGAAGGCGUGGGGAUCAAACAGGAUUAGAUACCCUGGUAGUCCACGCAGUAAACGAUGAUUACUAGCUGUUUGCGAUACAAUGUAAGCGGCUGAGCGAAAGCGUUAAGUAAUCCACCUGGGGAGUACGUUCGCAAGAAUGAAACUCAAAGGAAUUGACGGGG